UACGAACUGUGCGAACGUUAUUCGGAAUCACUGGGCUUACAGGGUGCGUAGGCGGCCUGACAAGUAGGGUGUGAAAGCCCCCGGCUUAGCCGGGGAAUGGCGCCCUAAACUGUCGGGCUGGAGUGAGAUAGGGGUGUGCGGAACUUCCGGUGGAGCGGUGAAAUGUGUUGAUAUCGGAAGGAACGCCGGUGGCGAAAGCGGCACACUGGAUCUCAACUGACGCUGAGGCACGAAAGCCAGGGGAGCGAACGGG
rnacentral:rRNA from 1 species